rnacentral:rRNA from 1 species
GUAGGUGGCAAGCGUUGUCCGGAAUUAUUGGGCGUAAAGCGCGCGCAGGCGGUUCUUUAAGUCUGAUGUGAAAGCCCACGGCUCAACCGGGGAGGGUCAUUGGAAACUGGGGAACUUGAGUGCAGGAGAGGAAAGUGGAAUUCCACGUGUAGCGGUGAAAUGCGUAGAUAUGUGGAGGAACACCAGUGGCGAAGGCGACUUUCUGGCCUGUAACUGACACUGAGGCGCGAAAGCGUGGGGAGCAAACAGGGAUUAGAUACCCUGGUAGUCCACGCCGUAAACGAUGAGUGCUAAGUGUUGGGGGGGUUUCCGCCCCCUCAGUGCUGCAGCUAACGCAUUAAGCACUCCGCCCCGGGGAGUACGGUCGCAAGACUG